rnacentral:ncRNA from 1 species
ACUCCGAACCCUGAACCCUGAACCCCGAACCUUGAACCCUGAACCUUGAACCCUGAACCCUAAACCCUGAAACCUGAACCCUAAACCCUGAACCCUGAACCCUAAACUCGCAUUGGGUGGUGGUGCAUGGUUGUUUUAGUUGGUGGAGUGAUUUGUCUGGUUAAUUCCGUUAACGAAUGAGACCUCAGCCUACUAACUAGCCAUACGGAGGUAUCCCUUCACGUCCAGCUUCUUAUAGGGACUACGACCUUUUAGGCCGCGAAAGUUUGAGCCAAUAAUAGGUUUGUGAUGCCCUUAGAUAUUUUGGGCCGCACGCAUGCUACACUGAUGUAUUCAAUGAGUUUAUAGCCUUGGCCAAUAGGCCUGUGUAAUCUUUGAAAUUUCAUCAUGAUGGUGAUAGAUCAUUGAAAUGGUUGGUCUUCAACGAGAAAUUCCUAGUAAGCGUGAGUCAUUAGCUCGCGUUGACUACAUCCUUGCCUUUUGUACACACCGCCCAUCACUCCUAUCAAUUGAAUGAUCUGGUGAAAUGUUCGGAUUGCGGCGAUGUGGAUGGUUCACUGCCCAAGACGUCGCGAAAAGUCCAUUAAACCUUAUCAUUUAGAGGAAGGAGAAUUCGUAAUAAGGUUUUAGUAGGUGAACCUGUGGAAGGAUCAUUA